CAGUCGUACUAACGGGAAAUCAACCUAUUUGAGUUUGUGAGGUUUGGAUUCCGAAGAGUGUAAACCUUCGGGUUCGAAUAUUUGCUGCUUUUUAGGCGUAAUUUCUCGUUCGGUAGGUUAACAUCGAUUUUGAAGAUUAUAAAAUGACCGGAGGAAUGUAGCUUCGAUCUCGUAUUGAAGUGUUAUAGCCUUUGGUAGAUGUAAUGAUCAAGAUCGAGGAUUGCAACGAAUACCCUUUGGGCUAUCCGUCUGAUCUCUGAUACGUUGCCUUGGUAACGAAGCUUGCUUACGGUAUCGAGGUAUUACGGUCAAAAGGUUAGAACGUGAUUACAUUCGUUAAGGAUGUUGACGUAAUGGCUUCAAACGCCCGUCUUGAAACACGGACCAAGGACGUCUAACAUAUAUG
rnacentral:rRNA from 1 species